CUGGAGGUAUCAGAAGUGCGAAUGCUGACAUAAGUAACGAUAAAGCGGGUGAAAAGCCCGCUCGCCGGAAGACCAAGGGUUCCUGUCCAACGUUAAUCGGGGCAGGGUGAGUCGACCCCUAAGGCGAGGCCGAAAGGCGUAGUCGAUGGGAAACGGGUUAAUAUUCCCGUACUUGGUGUUACUGCGAAGGGGGGACGGAGAAGGCUAUGUUGGCCGGGCGACGGUUGUCCCGGUUUAAGCGUGUAGGUGUGUGUUCCAGGUAAAUCCGGUUCACUUUAACACUGAGGCGUGACGACGAGGCACUACGGUGCUGAAGCAACAAAUGCCCUGCUUCCAGGAAAAGCCUCUAAGCAUCAGGUAACAUCAAAUCGUACCCCAAACCGACACAGGUGGUCAGGUAGAGAAUACCAAGGCGCUUGAGAGAACUCGGGUGAAGGAACUAGGCAAAAUGGUGCCGUAACUUCGGGAGAAGGCACGCUGACAUGUAGGUGAAGUGAUUUACUCAUGGAGCUGAAGUCAGUCGAAGAUACCAGCUGGCUGCAACUGUUUAUUAAAAACACAGCACUGUGCAAACACGAAAGUGGACGUAUACGGUGUGACGCCUGCCCGGUGCCGGAAGGUUAAUUGAUGGGGUCAGCGCAAGCGAAGCUCCUGAUCGAAGCCCCGGUAAACGGCGGCCGUAACUAUAACGGUCCUAAGGUAGCGAAAUUCCUUGUCGGGUAAGUUCCGACCUGCACGAAUGGCGUAAUGAUGGCCAGGCUGUCUCCACCCGAGACUCAGUGAAAUUGAACUCGCUGUGAAGAUGCAGUGUACCCGCGGCAAGACGGAAAGACCCCGUGAACCUUUACUAUAGCUUGACACUGAACAUUGAGCCUUGAUGUGUAGGAUAGGUGGGAGGCUUUGAAGUGUGGACGCCAGUCUGCAUGGAGCCGACCUUGAAAUACCACCCUUUAAUGUUUGAUGUUCUAACGUGGACCCGUGAUCCGGGUUGCGGACAGUGUCUGGUGGGUAGUUUGACUGGGGCGGUCUCCUCCUAAAGAGUAACGGAGGAGCACGAAGGUUGGCUAAUCCUGGUCGGACAUCAGGAGGUUAGUGCAAUGGCAUAAGCCAGCUUGACUGCGAGCGUGACGGCGCGAGCAGGUGCGAAAGCAGGUCAUAGUGAUCCGGUGGUUCUGAAUGGAAGGGCCAUCGCUCAACGGAUAAAAGGUACUCCGGGGAUAACAGGCUGAUACCGCCCAAGAGUUCAUAUCGACGGCGGUGUUUGGCACCUCGAUGUCGGCUCAUCACAUCCUGGGGCUGAAGUAGGUCCCAAGGGUAUGGCUGUUCGCCAUUUAAAGUGGUACGCGAGCUGGGUUUAGAACGUCGUGAGACAGUUCGGUCCCUAUCUGCCGUGGGCGCUGGAGAACUGAGGGGGGCUGCUCCUAGUACGAGAGGACCGGAGUGGACGCAUCACUGGUGUUCGGGUUGUCAUGCCAAUGGCACUGCCCGGUAGCUAAAUGCGGAAGAGAUAAGUGCUGAAAGCAUCUAAGCACGAAACUUGCCCCGAGA
rnacentral:rRNA from 2 species